UGGGGAAUGAUUGCACAAUGGGCGCAAGCCUGAUGCAGCAACGCCGCGUGAGGGAUGACGGCCUUCGGGUUGUAAAACCUCUUUUAGUAGGGAAGAAGCGAAAGUGACGGUACCUGCAGAAAAAGCACCGGCUAACUACGUGCCAGCAGCCGCGGUAAUACGUAGGGUGCGAGCGUUGUCCGGAAUUAUUGGGCGUAAAGAGCUCGUAGGCGGUCUGUCGCGUCUGCUGUGAAAACCCGAGGCUCAACCUCGGGCCUGCAGUGGGUACGGGCAGACUAGAGUGCGGUAGGGAGAAUGGAAUUCCUGGCUGUAGCGGUGGAAUGCGCAGAUAUCAGGAGGAACACCGAUGGCGAAGGCAGUUCUCUGGGCCGUAACUGACGCUGAGGAGCGAAAGCGUGGGGAGCGAACAGGAUUAGAUACCCUGGUAGUCCACGCCGUAAACGUUGGGCGCUAGAUGUGGGACCAUUCCACGGUUUCCGUGUCGCAGCUAACGCAUUAAGCGCCCCGCCU
rnacentral:rRNA from 1 species